rnacentral:rRNA from 1 species
GACGUAGGGUGCAAGCGUUAAUCGGAAUUACUGGGCGUAAAGCGUGCGCAGGCGGUGAUGUAAGACAGAUGUGAAAUCCCCGGGCUCAACCUGGGAACUGCAUUUGUGACUGCAUCGCUGGAGUGCGGCAGAGGGGGAUGGAAUUCCGCGUGUAGCAGUGAAAUGCGUAGAUAUGCGGAGGAACACCGAUGGCGAAGGCAAUCCCCUGGGCCUGCACUGACGCUCAUGCACGAAAGCGUGGGGAGCAAACAGG